GUGAAUUCAGUCCCACGGCCGAUGGGGAGGUAGCUGAAAGGUGUGUGCUUUACUGAACACUUCCAUCAGUUCCUGGUACUCUGGGGGUAUGGUGAUGUUGUGACAAGUCUCUGGGCUCUUGACCUUCCUGGGUAGAAAUGGGAACUUCAGGUGGGGUGUGAGGCAUUGCCUGUGGCAGUGUUGAGACCAGCUGGUGAGUUCCUUGUCAGUCCAGGAUAUCUGUGUGUUGUGAUCCCAGAGCCAAGGGAAUCCCAAGAUGACUCAGUUGGCUGGGGAUGAGGUAACGAAUAGGACCGAUUGCUCUAUGCGAAAAAGUCCAAAUUGCAGGGUAAUGGUGUGGUCUGGUGCAUGAUGAAGCCAUCCUCAAUCGGUUGAUUGUCCACUGUCAUAUUCUUCAGGGGAAUGGUGCAAGGAGUUACAGGGAGUUGUAGUUCUUCCUCUAGCUGGCGCUGGAUGAUAUUAAUGGGGGAACUGGGCAGAAACAUUGUAAAACCUAUUUCCAUAGUGGAUCUGUGCAGGUAAUUGUAAUUAGUAGCUCCUGGACUUGUGUUCUCCGGACCAGACUGCAAAAUGAUGACCUGCUUGGCCACAGUAGAAGCAGAGUUGGUGAUGUAGGUGCCGCUGGUGUUCCUCCUAAGAGAUAUGAGUAUAUCCAAUCUGCCUGGGUUCAGGCACUUCGGAGGUGAAAGGGCUUGGCAAUGGCUAGGCUCUUGGGGAUUGGUUGUGGGGAAUGUUGUCUAGAUGAAUAGCCAGCAAAAUAUACUGAGACAGGAGGGAAAUGUUCUCGACUCGACAUGCGAGUUUGGCCUGAAGAGUGGGCAUAAGUCCUUCCCUGAACAUAACCUUCAAAGCUGAAUCAUUCCACCCAUUCUGAGCAGCUAGCGUGCGGAAUUUUACCACAUUGUCUGCAGCUGAAUCAGUGCUCUGGCACAGCUGGAUGUCUCCCAGCUGGGUACUCAAGGACAGAAUGUCUCCCAGCUGGGUACUCACAGGAUUUCACAGAUUUAAUGGACAAAGUGAGUAUAGGAUGAACGCACCUGCAUGGCCUCGUCCCAGACUGCUGUGGCCGUAUCCAGAGCUUUCCCUGUAAGAAGACUCAUCAGGAAUGCACACUUGGUGGUGUCAUCCCGGUAGGCAUCUGGCUGGUGGUUGAAAAACACCUCACACUGGUGAAGAAAACCUUUACACUGGUCAGCAGAGCCAUCAAAAUUUACCCGAAAGUGGAAACCGGAAGUUAAUAUUCCGGUGAUGGCUCACUCUGGUUAGUUGGAUGGGGUCGUUGACGGUGUUCUUACUUCGUGUAUAACCAAAUUGCUUGAAUUAAAUAUAUGGAAUUAAAAUUAUUGUACACUGAUCCAUUAAUAAAUUCUGUGUUUCAGGUACUGGGCUGAGGGGGAACCGAAUGAUUCAGGUGGUGAGGACUGUGCUGAGAUUUCAGGCAGACAAGAAAAUAAGAUUUUUAAGGAUUAUUAAGGACAGAAAUAUUUACCCAAAGAGAAGACUACACAAGGGCAUUGUUCAGGAUGGGCAUUGUUCACAGAAUUGGGAUAAGUGAUUUGAGUACGAGAGGUCCUGACAAGUCCUGACAUUUCAUGGUCCGGAUCUUCAGGAUGGUAACCUGAGAAAAACUGGGGUGGCUGGAUUGUGCAGUUUGGUACCGCUGGGUUCAGCCAUGGAACCAGAAGAAGCUGCAGUCCCAAAUGUCCUUCUGGAAAUUUAUCCUGAUCCUGAGAUCAUUUAGCUUGUUUUCCAGAGACCUUAGCUAACAGGAUGCUAGGCAGGGGAUCAGAGUGUGUGCUUGCUCUCAGCUCGUUCUUGACAUAGGCUUGGGGCCAUGUUGAGUCCAGGUUUAGAAAUGGCAUUAGGUGAGAUUAAAUGAGAUUUUAAAUCGAUUGAAAUAAGUAUUAUUUUUGAAUUAUCAAAAACAAACAAGCAAAAACAAAUUUUAUUUUGACUGCAUUAAAAUAGUAACAGUGUGAUUAACACAACUCUAAGGUGACCAGAAAAUACUGAUACACAAACCCAGUGACAGUGCAGGAAAAAUAGAAUGACGUGGCCUUGAAAAUCAUUUCACCUUUACUUCCUCUAUAAGUCACUCACACACGCACAUGCGUGCACACACACACACAUGCACGCGCACACACACACAGGCACAGACACAGGCAAACACACACACUCACACACACACAGCUUGGUGUAAACCUAAGUGAGU